ACAUUCAAAUUGUGUCAACGCCUUUAUACCAUAGAAUAAGAGAUGUAGAGCGCGGAAGCUACGUUCCUGAUAGUUUUCCUCUCGUUCCCUGUCAACAAUUGACGAUAAUUAAUCUUAGCUACUCUAAAACUUUUAAAGGUGCUAUGAGCAUGCUAAUGAGCACAGGUGGUCCCUCUGUCUUCUGCAAACACGUGCAGUAACAUGGAGAUAUGGCUGUGUGGGAACCCUAACCCUAAAAAAGAUCCACCUACCACAUGGGCCUACUAUGGCUGAACCCAAGCCCAUGGAUUCCCCAGGUUCUGGCUGUGGUGUUCCAGCCCAGAGAAGCUCACAGCAGGGUCCAGAGAUGGUGUCAGUGAAGCUGGAGAACUGCAGUCAAACACUGGACCUCAAUGUGAUUGUGAUCGGGGAAGAGAGAGAACUUCAAGUAGAAGUUAAAGAAGAAGAAGAAAGGGUGGUGGAGGAGAUGAGUCAAAGAGGAGAAGAAAGAGAGAGGAGUGAAAGAGGAAGCUGAGAUACAAGUCAAAGAAGAAGAGGAGAACAGGGAAGUGUCUGCUCCAGAUCUAGAAGAAGAAGAGGAGAACAGGGAAGUGUCUGCUCCAGAUCUAGAAGAAGAAGAGGAGAACAGGGAAGUGUCUGCUCCAGAUCUAGAAGAAGAAGAGGAGAACAGGGAAGUGUCUGCUCCAGAUCUAGAAGAAGAAGAGGAGAACAGGGAAGUGUCUGCUCCAGAUCUAGAAGAAGAAGAGGAGAACAGGGAAGUGUCUGCUCCAGAUCUAGAAGAAGAAGAGGAGAACAGGGAAGUGUCUGCUCCAGAUCUAGAAGAAGAAGAGGAGAACAGGGAAGUGUCUGCUCUAGAUCUAGAAGAAGAAGAGGAGAACAGGGAAGUGUCUGCUCCAGAUCUAGAAGAAGAAGAGGAGAACAGGGAAGUGUCUGCUCCAGAUCUAGAAGAAGAAGAGGAGAACAGGGAAGUGUCUGCUCCAGAUCUAGAAGAAGAAGAGGAGAACAGGGAAGUGUCUGCUCCAGAUCUAGAAGAAGAAGAGGAGAACAGGGAAGUGUCUGCUCCAGAUCUAGAAGAAGAAGUAGAUAGUAUCACUGACCCAGGAGAGAUCUCCAACCCAGGUUCAGACAGUGAGCCCAGUUCCACAGCAUCAGGAAACCAUAAACAACACAGACGGAGGAACUCAAGACAGAAACAUCACCACUGCAUGGACUGCUUCACUAGUUUCUAUGAGCCAGAGGAGUUGAAGACACACUUGUAGGCCCCAACCUUGCUCAGACUGCGGAGACAGUUUUAUUUGUCCAAUUGACCUUAAAUCACACCGACAGACUCUCAAAAGAAAGAAAACUUACCCCUGUGGUCAAUGGGGGAAUAGCAAACUAAAGAUGCACCAAGUAACUCAAAGGGAACGAGUUGAACUUACUGCUCUUUUUGUAGAAAGAGUUUUCCCUCUUUUACAGACCUUAAAUAGAUACCAGCUGAGCCACACAGGAAAGAAGCCUUUUCACUGCUCAGUGUGGGAAGGGUUUCUGAUGGUCAUAAAAUAUGAAUACACACUGGUGAAAGUAUCACAGGCCUGACACUGGACUGUUGCUUUAGAAGAAAGUCAACUUCAAACCACGAGUAAAACAUGCAAACAGCAUUUACCAACCGCAACUGUUAUGUGACAAUUCUUGCGUUAACAUGAACACUACUUGUCAUCAGUACUCAGUAUAUACUUACCCUGCAUUAUCACUUCAACUCUGGGCAACAUGUAAUAAUUCCUUUAGUAUCCGGUAAAAACUCUGAAUGUCUAACAAAUUAUGGUACAUGGUAAUUCAUAUGUUAGUACCACUGCUGCAAACAAAACAUCCACACACCAAUGCUAACGAUGCUAGUUAACUUUGCUAGCUUGCUCUAUCUCUGACUGGCCUGUCCUGACCUUUUUUUAUAGAGUUUAACUAUUUAAUUCUCUAGCGUUUUGGUAGUGGCAGAAGGGAAGAAGUAUCAAUACUAUAUCAUUUUCAGCUGCCUUAUAUUUUAGAUUUAUUGGAAAGCAGUUGAGUUGCUGGCUCCAUACCUACAGUAUCGAAAUGACGGCAGCACAAAUAUAACGCCACUUCCGCUUUUAGAAACGCGGGCGGAAGUUUACGUUCCUGCUUCUUUUCGUCGCGUGUCCUUACUCAGCCAAGCAACUGACGACAGGGCUAUUUUUAAAGAUCCACCUACCUUCUAACCUGCCAUGGCUGAGCCCAAGUCCACGGAGUCCCCGUGUUCUGGCUGUGGUGUUCCAUCACAGAGAAGUUCACAGCAGGGUCCAGAGAUGGUCUCAGUGAAGCUGGAGGACUGCAGUCAAACACUGGAACUCAAUGUGAUUGUCAAAGAGGAAGAAGAGGAGACAGAAAUCCAAGAAGAGGUGGAGAGAGCUGUCAAAGACGAAGAGGAGGAGGAGAGAGCUGUCAAAGAAGAAGAGGAGGAGGAGAGAGCGGUCAAAGAAGAAGAGGAGGAGGAGGAGAGAGCGGUCAAAGAAGAAGAGGAGGAGGAAGAGCAGUCAAAGAAGAAGAAGAA